AUUGAACGCUGGCGGCAGGCCUAACACAUGCAAGUCGAACGAGUGGCGGACGGGUGAGUAAUGUCUGGUAAACUGCCCGAUGGCGGGGGAUAAAUACUGGAAACGGUAGCUAAUACCGCAUACCAUCGGAUGUGCCCAGAGGGGAUUAGCUAGUAGGUGGGGUGACGGCUAACUUAUGCGACGAUCCCUAGCUGGUCUGAGCGGAUGACAAGCCACACUGGAACUGAGACACGGUCCAGACUCCUACGGGAGGCAGCGGGGGGGAAUAUUGGACAAUGGGCGCAAGCCCGAUGCAGCCAUGCCGCGUGUAUGAAGAAGGCCUUCGGGUUGUAAAGUACUUUCAGCGAGGAGGCGUUACUCGCAGAAGAAGCACCGGCUAACUCCGUGCCAGCAGCCGCGGUAAUAC
rnacentral:rRNA from 1 species